CACACCGCCCGUCACAUCACGAAAGCCGGCUGUACUAGAAGUCGCUGCGCUAACCCGCAAGGGGGCAAGCGCCUAAGGUAUGGUCGGUGAUUGGGGUG
rnacentral:rRNA from 1 species